AGUAGCAUAGUUGGUAAAGCGCUUGUCUCGCAUACAAGGAUCGUAGGUUCAUGUCCUACCU
rnacentral:tRNA from 1 species